CAAAUUUAAAUUCUAUGAUUCUUCAAAUUGAACAAUGAUCUGGACUUGAAAUAAUUUUAAAGGCAACAAAUGUCCCUGCUGUACUGGACUAUGUUUUACAGUUUGUAGACCCUGAAGCUCAAUAAGAACUACAGAAUACCCAAACUUGUAUUAAUGUAAAUCAAAUGUUGAGAUUUUUAAAAGAACACUGGAAGGAAAAACUGACGAGUCAAAAUCAAACAUUCCGGUGUGAGUUCUUCCUUUAGGAAAAGGAUUGGCAAAUACUUGAAUUUGGCCUUUGUCCCAGAGCUCUUAUCUAGCAGUUGGUAAUCGGGGGUCUUUUACUGUAAUGCUUCUUUUGCUGAUAUCGUAUGUGCCUACUAGGGAAUUUCUCUUCAAUGCCAUUGAAACGUUGCCUUGUGUCAAGAAGAAGGCAGACUGGGCCUUGCGCUGGAUUGGGGACAAAGAGGCUACCUAUGGUGAACGUGUUGUAGCCUUUGCUGCAGUGGAAGGCAUCUUCUUUUCCGGUUCUUUUGCAUCGAUAUUCUGGCUCAAGAAACGAGGACUGAUGCCUGGCCUCACAUUUUCUAAUGAACUUAUUAGCAGAGAUGAG
rnacentral:sRNA from 1 species